AGGGAAUCUUCCACAAUGGACGGAAGUCUGAUGGAGCAACGCCGCGUGAGUGAUGAAGGUUUUCGGAUCGUAAAACUCUGUUGUAAGGGAAGAACCAGUACGUCAGGCAAUGGACGUACCUUGACGGUACCUUAUUAGAAAGCCACGGCUAACUACGUGCCAGCAGCCGCGGUAAUACGUAGGUGGCAAGCGUUGUCCGGAAUUAUUGGGCGUAAAGCGCGCGCAGGUGGUUUCUUAAGUCUGAUGUGAAAGCCCACGGCUUAACCGUGGAGAGUCAUUGGAAACUGGGAGACUUGAGUGCAGAAGAGGAAAGUGGAAUUCCAAGUGUAGCGGUGAAAUGCGUAGAGAUUUGGAGGAACACCAGUGGCGAAGGCGUCUAACUGGAACGAACCUGACGGUGAGGGACGAAAGCUAGGGGCGCGAACC
rnacentral:rRNA from 1 species